rnacentral:hammerhead_ribozyme from 1 species
UGCCGAAACCGGGAUUUAUUCCCGGUCAACAGGAGCUGGCCGUCCUGUUCUGAUGAUGGCGGGCUAAA